CAGAGAAUAGUUUAAGAAGAAUUUCGGCUUUGGGGGCUGAUGGUGAAAUUAAUAUAUUUCUUCUCUGA
rnacentral:tRNA from 1 species